AGUGAACGCUGGCGGUAGGCCUAACACAUGCAAGUCGAACGGCAGCACAGUAAUUUCUUUCUCUUUCGUUUUUCGAGUGUCGGACGUUUGCUGUAUACAUCGUAAUCUACUUUUUCUUGGGUGAUCACGUCGGUAAACUUACUCUAAUACCUCUUACGUCCUUCUGGUGAAAGCAUUUGUUCUUCUGACCUUGCGCUUUUUAAUGAGCCGAUGUCGGAUUAGCUAGUUGGCGGGGUAAAGGCCCACCAAGGCGACGAUCCGUAGCUGGUCUGAGAGGAUGUUCAGCCAAACUGGAACUGAGACACGGACAAGAGUCCUACGGGAGGCAGCAGUGGGGAAUAUUGGACAAUGGGGGAAAGCAUGAUACAGCAAUACGGCGUGGGGGAAGAAGGACUUCGGGUUGUAAAGAAAUGUUGUUGGGAAAGAAAAGAAGCAGGAUAAUAAAAAGAUGGUAUGACGGUAACAAAAGAAUAAGCAACGGCUAACUUCGUG
rnacentral:rRNA from 1 species